rnacentral:rRNA from 1 species
CACGUAGGGGGCACGCGUUGUCCGGAAUCAUUGGGCGUAAAGCGCGUGUAGGCGGCCCGGUAAGUCCGCUGUGAAAGUCGGGGGCUCAACCCUCGGAUGCCGGUGGAUACUGUCGGGCUUGAGUGCGGAAGAGGCGAGUGGAAUUCCUGGUGUAGCGGUGAAAUGCGCAGAUAUCAGGAGGAACACCAAUUGCGAAGGCAGCUCGCUGGGACGUUACUGACGCUGAGACGCGAAAGCGUGGGGAGCAAACAGG